UGGAAUGUGUUAGAAACGUAUAGACAAGCUA
rnacentral:piRNA from 1 species